CCGAGCGGCUCCCGCUCCCGCUCCCCAGCCCGAGCCCGAGCCCGCCGCGGGCCCCCGCCCGGAAGCCUCCGCCGCCUCCCCACGGAAGCGCUGCCGGCGCCUGCGCGCUGCCCGGCCGGCCCCCAUGGCGCUGCUCGGCCGCCCGCGGGAGCGGCCCCCGCCGCCCUGCCGGGCUCCGCCGCGGCCGCCCUUCUCCUUCGCCCCGCGCCGCCUGCGCCUGGGCCCGCAGCACCCGCUGCUGGAGGGCGGCGACGUGCAGAGGCACCUGUACCUGCGGGACGCCCUGACGGACCGGGCCGAGGAGGCAGAGAGACCCAGGGUGUCUGAAUUCUGUUGUCACAUCUCUGGGUGCUCCCAGGUCUUUGACACCCUGGAGGGCUACGAGCACCACUACAACACACUGCACAGGAACGUCUGCUCCUUCUGCAAGCGCUCCUUUCCUUCAGGGCAUCUCUUGGAUAUCCACAUCUUGGAGUGGCAUGACUCACUUUUCCAGAUAAUGGCUGAGAAACAGAACAUGUACAAGUGCUUGGUAGAAGGCUGUACAGAGAAAUUCAAGAGCAGCAAAGACAGAAAGGAUCACUUGGUCACCAUUCACCUUUAUCCUGCUGACUUCCGAUUUGGUAGACCAAAGAAAGUGAAAAGGGCUCACAUGGCAUCUGCUGAGAAAGGAUACAAAAUGUUGUCUCUGCAGUGGCACCAAGCACAUGAGCUGUCCCAUGCAGCAGGGUGCAAGUGUGCCAAUGGAUGUCAGCAUGGAGACUUCGGAGCAAUUCCAAGUGGACCCCAUGGAAGUAGGGCCCAGUGAGAGAAUGGAGAUCCCUCAGCGUGCAGCCAGCCCCAGCCCCACAGUGCCAGAGAAACGACUCUAUAAAUCCAGGGUCCCAUCCACAAUUUGCUUUGGGCAAGGUGCCACCAGGGGAUUCAAAGGCCCAAGGAAGAAAGUCUGAAGCACUAGAGAUAAUCACAAGAUGAAAAUGUACCAUCUGCCACCACCAGCAAACAUUAUCGGUGGUGCCGUGGCCAUGCAGGAAUAUUUGCAGUCACAUGCAAGGAUCCACUCCCUUACAGGAAAGUGGAAAGAAGACAACAGGGGUUGUGCGGUUUGGGAUGCAUAAGUAUCUCGGGAGGUACUUUGCUACAGUCCCUUUGUGUCUGCAUACCUCAUCCCUUGGAGAGGAUUUCUGAGCAGAGCCAUGUUUAUAUUCAUCCUCCAUGAGCCACAAAGCUCUCUUCUCUGAUACCCCCAAAACCAAGCUACAGAUAAAUUUGUCUGCCUCUGUGCUGCCGAGUUGUUGUGUCUCGUCAUCAGCAGGACUCCUCUGGGUAGUAGCAACUUUCUAGACAUACCUUGCUUGAUCUUGGUAAAUGAUUUUCUGAACUCCAGACAGACACAAGAAUUGCACAGAUUUAAUCACUGCCAAAAAUGCAGCAGGGGUAACACAGAGAAACAUCCACUGUAUGCCAUCUUCUAGGAAGCCCUUCAUCCUCCCAACCCCAUCAGCUGGCCUGCUGGAUGAGUAUCACACUUCCCUACCAGCCCCUGCAGAACUGUGUUUGUAUGGAGCAGUGUCUGAGAAGGGCUGUUGUUGGAGUGGCUUAGGGCUGCGCUGCUCCUGAGUGAAACCAUGCAUGCAGAAAAAAACAUUAUAUUUGCCAUACCUGUAUCUUCUGCAAUCUUGCCUUAAGUGUACUGAGCAGAGUAUGUCUGAAAGCCCCUAGAUAACAAGGCACAACACUUUCACAGUCUAGCUUACUUUUCGUCUGAUGUUUUCUAGCAGCAUUAUUGAAAGAUGAUGGUGCAAACAGCCCUUCCGACAGCAUAUGGACAUGGGGUGGGGUGGACUUCAGUUUCUUGUCACCAGUUGUUAGCAAAAAGUUCCAGCCUGCAGCAGUGGUGCAAUGUGGAGGUGAGAGUAAAGGUGCUGUCUUGCAAUGCAGGUGGAGCCAGAAAGGCAGAAGGAACCUUUGGCCUUUGCCCCAAAUAACUCCAAAAUCAAUUGAUGAUGGAGAUGAUUUUUCCAUCCAUAAAGAAAAAAAAUAAUCACAGGAGGUUGCUGGUAUGGCAUUUAUCCAAGAAGCUUAGGAUCUGUAAUUGCUUUUUUCCCUUUCUGCUCUCUAGAAGAAACAAAGGGCAAAAAAAAAGGCUUUGGAAAUGCCUUGCAAAUAGGAGCAGAGAGCAAUUUUUAAAGGGACAUAAGUGAUUUCCUUGUGAGUUUUAAAAUGUUUCAUUAUGAUUAAAACAGCUGGUUUGUCCAGCUUUAAUCCUUGCUCCUCAGCUACAGUGGUCCCUGGCCAACAAACCAACCGGAGCUGAGUAAAGUGGAGGGAAAUGUGGAAAGGGAGGGCAGGGACAGAGUGAAGGCUGUGCAGAGGGAAGCACACGUGCUGGUAGGGACAAGUGGGGUGGAGGAUAUUACAUAAGGAGGGAUGUCACCCCACAUCUGGUGCCUGCCACCACCCACAACUUCAGCAGUGCAGCAAGCGCCAUGCGCUGCCCUGGGACCUCCAGCAGCAGAGGCAGGCCAUCAAAAAAAGCACGUCCCAAAGCAGGAAGCCCCUAAUGAGAUAUUUCCAUGCUGAGAUAACUGAAAAUGUUAAGUCUCUGAACCUGCAGGCUCAGGUGCGCUGAGGUAUGAAGAUCACACGGGAGAAACCAAGUCUGCUGCUCAGUGCUCCCCCUUGUAUGUUUAGCUCUGAAGCUUCCACCUGGAAACAUCUUCAUUUUUCCCAGACUCUAAGCGUCUGAGUGUCCACCCUUGGUCUUAAAAAAGAAGUAAAAAUCAUAAUCACAGA